CCGAGUUUUACCGGCUGCGAUGUGUUACGCGCCCCUGCUUUAGAAAAAAACAGAGAAGGAAAACUUCAUAGAAAUGGCGGAGGGUGCUACGACUCUCAAAGGCUUGCGAGCCCAAAUGGGGUAAGAGGGAGUUUUCUGCAUAUCCAGUGUGGGUGUAGGCAUGUUUUACCCCUGGCAACAACUGGACCGUAUUUAGUUCAGAAUCUUCCUGUUUCCCUUAACUUUCGGUAUCUGGAAUUUACAUCCAACUCUGUGGUUUUAUGAAAGUAUCAACAAUUUUUAGAGUUAUGUGAAAUUUAGGAAUCCUGGCAUUGUGAGCAAUACAAAGAUGUCAGUUUGCUCGACCUUCAGCAGAGGACUGACAAUAAUAAAAUAAUGUUAGGAAUCUAG
rnacentral:lncRNA from 1 species